CACGUAGGGGGCGAGCGUUGUCCGGAUUUAUUGGGCGUAAAGAGCUCGUAGGCGGCUCAGUAAGUCAGGUGUGAAAACUCCAGGCUCAACCUGGAGACGCCACUUGAUACUGCUGUGGCUAGAGUCCGGUAGGGGAGCCUGGAAUUCCUGGUGUAGCGGUGAAAUGCGCAGAUAUCAGGAGGAACACCGAUGGCGAAGGCAGAUCUCUGGGCCUUACCUGACGCUGAGGAGCGAAAGCUGGGGGAGCGAACAGG
rnacentral:rRNA from 1 species